rnacentral:lncRNA from 1 species
GACGGAGGUGAGACAUCCAACAGCUUCAAGAACCAAAUUUUCCAGCAGCCCCUAAAACCGUCUCUAACACCCAGAAGCUGGUUCCUCAAUGCUCAGCAAGGAAUAACAGCUCUAGCUCUCUCUUUAGUCAAGGCUGAUUUAUUUAAUUUGUUGUUGGAUUUGAAGUUGAGGAAGAAAUUUAUGAUCAAUUUUAGUGAGGAG